UACGGGGGGGGCAAGCGUUGUUCGGAAUUACUGGGCGUAAAGGGCGCGUAGGCGGCCUUCUAAGUCGGACGUGAAAUCCCUCGGCUUAACCGAGGAACUGCGUCCGAUACUGAAAGGCUUGAAUCCGGGAGAGGGAUGUGGAAUUCCAGGUGUAGCGGUGAAAUGCGUAGAGAUCAGGAGGAACACCCGUGGCGAAGGCGGCACUCUGGGUCGGCCCUGACGCUGAGGCGCGAAAGCGUGGGGAGCGAACGGG
rnacentral:rRNA from 1 species